rnacentral:rRNA from 1 species
UACGGAGGGUGCAAACGUUAAUCGGAAUUACUGGGCGUAAAGCGUGCGCAGGCGGCGCCAUAAGACAAAUGUGAAAGCCCCGGGCUUAACCUGGGAAUUGCGUUUGUGACUGUGGUGCUUGAGUGCGGCAGAGGGGGGUGGAAUUCCACGUGUAGCAGUGAAAUGCGUAGAGAUGUGGAGGAACACCGAUGGCGAAGGCAGCCCCCUGGGUCGACACUGACGCUCAUGCACGAAAGCGUGGGGAGCAAACAGG